AUUGAACGCUGGCGGCAGGCCUAACACAUGCAAGUCGAGCGGAUGAAGGGGGCUUGCUCCUGGAUUCAGCGGCGGACGGGUGAGUAAUGCCUAGGAAUCUGCCUGGUAGUGGGGGACAACGUUUCGAAAGGAACGCUAAUACCGCAUACGUCCUACGGGAGAAAGCAGGGGACCUUCGGGCCUUGCGCUAUCAGAUGAGCCUAGGUCGGAUUAGCUAGUUGGUGAGGUAAUGGCUCACCAAGGCGACGAUCCGUAACUGGUCUGAGAGGAUGAUCAGUCACACUGGAACUGAGACACGGUCCAGACUGCUACGGGAGGCAGCAGUGGGGAAUAUUGGACAAUGGGCGAAAGCCUGAUCCAGCCAUGCCGCGUGUGUGAAGAAGGUCUUCGGAUUGUAAAGCACUUUAAGUUGGGAGGAAGGGUUGUAGAUUAAUACUCUGCAAUUUUGACGUUACCGACAGAAUAAGCACCGGCUAACUCUGUGCCAGCCGCCGCCGCAGUAA
rnacentral:rRNA from 1 species